rnacentral:misc_RNA from 1 species
GUAGUCACCCGGGUUGCCGCAAGGCCUCUCGGGUAACCUACCACCCUUUGUUUAUUACACUUUGUUGCUUUGGCAAGCCUGCCCUCGGGCUGCUGGCUCCGGCCGGCGAGCGCUUGCCAGAGGACCCAAACUCUAAUGUUUCUUAUUGUAACUUCUGAGUAAAACAAACAAAUAAAUCAAAACUUUCAACAACGGAUCUCUUGGUUCU